rnacentral:rRNA from 1 species
GAGUUUGAUCAUGGCUCAGGACGAACGCUGGCGGCGUGCUUAACACAUGCAAGUGGAGCGACGAACCGGGGCUUGCCCCGGGGCAGAGCCGCGAACGGGUGAGUAACACGUGGGUAACCCACCUCGAUGACUGGGACAACCCGAGGAAACUCGGGCUAAUACCGGAUGUGAUCCUCUUUCGUAAGGAAGAUGAUGAAAGAUAGCUUCGGCUUUCGCAUCGAGACGGGCCCGCGGCCCAUUAGCUUGUUGGUGGGGUAAUGGCCUACCAAGGCUUCGAUGGGUAGCUGGUCUGAGAGGACGAUCAGCCACACUGGGACUGAGACACGGCCCAGACUCCUACGGGAGGCAGCAGUGGGGAAUCUUGCGCAAUGCGCGAAAGCGUGACGCAGCAACGCCGCGU